GGCCUGAAUUUGAAGUAGAGUAGGUUAGAAUGUUCAUCUGACCCGACUAAACUACUCUACUUCGUGUUUGUGCCC
rnacentral:pre_miRNA from 1 species